AGUGAACGCUGGCGGUAGGCCUAACACAUGCAAGUCGAACGGCAGCACAGUAAGAGCUUGCUCUUACGGGUGGCGAGUGGCGGACGGGUGAGGAAUACAUCGGAAUCUACUUUUUCGUGGGGGAUAACGUAGGGAAACUUACGCUAAUACCGCAUACGACCUACGGGUGAAAGCAGGGGAUCUUCGGACCUUGCGCGAUUGAAUGAGCCGAUGUCGGAUUAGCUAGUUGGCGGGGUAAAGGCCCACCAAGGCGACGAUCCGUAGCUGGUCUGAGAGGAUGAUCAGCCACACUGGAACUGAGACACGGUCCAGACUCCUACGGGAGGCAGCAGUGGGGAAUAUUGGACAAUGGGCGCAAGCCUGAUCCAGCCAUACCGCGUGGGCGAAGAAGGCCUUCGGGUUGUAAAGCCCUUUUGUUGGGAAAGAAAAGCAGCAGGUUAAUAACCCGCUGUUCUGACGGUACCCAAAGAAUAAGCACCGGCUAACUUCGUG
rnacentral:rRNA from 1 species